UUGUCUCUCUGUCCUGUCUCUGACUGGUCAUAUUGUCUCUCUGUCCUGUCUCUGACUGGUCAUAUUGUCUCUCUGUCCUGUCUCUGACUGGUCAUAUUGUCUCUCUGUCCUGUCUCUGACUGGUCAUAUUGUCUCUCUGUCCUGUCUCUGACUGCUCAUAUUGUCUCUGUCCUGUCUCUGACUGCUCAUAUUGUCUCUGUCCUGUCUCUGACUGCUCAUAUUGUCUCUGACCUGUCUCUGACCUGUCUCUGACUGCUCAUAUUGUCUCUGUCCUGUCGCUGACUGCUCAUAUUGUCUCUGUCCUGUCUCUGACUGCUCAUAUUGUCUCUGUCCUGUCUCUGACUGCUCAUAUUGUCUCUGUCCUGUCUCUGACUGCUCAUAUUGUCUCUGUCCUGUCUCUCUCUCUCUCUCUCUCUCUCUCUCUAAAUGGUAGAGUAGUGGGAGAAGUCUCUCUCUCUCUAUCUCUCGUUCGUUCGUUUGUUCGUUGUAUUAAAUGAGAGCGGAUAACCUGUCGAACCUUUUAUAAAGUUAGUAGCCUGAUUUGAUAUGAAACACUUUUCCCCAAAGCCUUUUUGAAGCCUGGGUCACGUUCAUCAGGCACCAAAUGGACACAAACGGGGAGUACUAUUUUUUUUAUUUUUGUUUUGUGUGUGUUGCACAAUGUUUUUGAAACGUAUUGCUACGAUGGGCCCUAAUGAACACGACCCAGGUGUGACGCCCAUGGACAAACAGGCAGCAAGUCAACAAGGAUAUUAUGAACAUUUUUAAAGGGCUUUUACCUCAAGUGUAAAACCAGUGUGAGAAAGAGACAGCUUAGGGGCUGUAGUAGUGUAAUUCAUCCUGAUUCUGUUGUCUUUUUUUUUUUUAAUUAAAGUUUUCACAUAAUAACAAAAAUAUACUUGUCCAUCUUAUUAUGCAACUGAUGAACUUUUUCUGAGUCUUCUUGUGUGAAAGACUGGUCUCCUGACAUGCGUUGAUAUGAUUGGUAGGGCAAGGUGUCUCAACUGUCUGUCCUGUUAGUUUUUUUGCAUGUCUCCUGAUGAACGUAAAACUACCACCUGCAUCCCAAAUGGAACACUAUUCCCUACUUAGUGCACUACUUUACACCAGAGCCCUAUGGAACCCUAUUCCCUAUAUAGUGCACUACUUUAGACCAGAGCCCUAUGGAACCCUAUUCCCUAUAUAGUACACUACUUUAGACCAGAGCCCUAUGGAACCCUAUUCCCUAUAUAGUGCACUACUUUAGACCAGAGCCCUAUGGAACCCUAUUCCCUACUUAGUGCACUACUUUAGACCAGAACCCUAUGGAACCCUAUUCCCUACUUAGUGCACUACUUUAGACCAGAGCCCUAUGGGCCCUAUAUAGGGAAUAGGGUGCAGUUUGGAACUAAGAGUUAGUUUCAAAACCACUUGCUAGAGGAGCUCUGGAAAAAUGAUAACACUUUACUUCAAGCCUGCAGGUAUAAUGCUUCAUAACUGCUCAUAAGCACCUAUAAGAGUAUUAUCUUGUCUCUUUAUGUCAACUGACUCAAACGGCUGGUAUUUCAUCCAUUAUGAGAUGAGACAUUUAUAAUAGGGUCAUAUGCUUAUGACAAUGCAUUAUAGCCGCAUCAUAAUGCAUUAUAACCUCUGGUAUUAAGUAAAGUUGUACUGAAGUUACGACUGGUUUUUCACUACCGUCCAUGAUGAUAGACCCAUUAUCUCCUACCUGUUCUACACUGGUCCCCCACAGCGGUUAGUCUCCUACCUGUUCUACACUGGUCCCCCACAGCAGUUAGUCUCCUACCUGUUCUACACUGGUCCCCCACAGCGGUUAGUCUCCUAGCCUGGUCCCCCAGCGCGGUUAGUCUCCUAGCCUGGUCCCCCCCCCCAGCGCGGUUAGUCUGCUAGCCUGGCUCCCCCCCAGCGGUUAGUCUGCUAGCCUGGCUCCCCCUCCACAGCGGUUAGUCUCCUAGCCUGGCUCCCCCACAUCGGUUUGUGCAUUCUUGACAGGGAAACCGCAACUUUGGGACAAUAAACCUUUUAUAGCCUGGUUAAACCAGACUGAAUGUUUCAAACGAUGGCGAUCAGCGUUUUCAGUAUGGUUUAACCAGGCUAUAAUAAACUUCUAGGAGAAAAUAAUUGUUUAAAAAUAACAAUAAUAACUGAAGCUUUUCAGUCAGAACUUAUCAGCAGGUUUUAUGUUUUCUGUAUUUUUAUUUAACAUAAACUGAAUUACCAAAUAACCUUUUUUUUUCUCGAUUUUUCCAUGUGUUUAUAUUGAUGCUUGUAUACAAUAUGUACACACUGUAUGGGAGAAACAAACAGUGAAUGAGGAAGUCCGAGGUCAUUUGAGAAGAGAACAUGACAUUUUAAUCAGAUGGAUUUCAUAGUUACCUGUCCUUGUAAAAGUUGUUAAUUUUAAAAUGUGAACAUGUACAGCUGGUGAGGAAGUUGUAAUAAAGAUUGUAUAAAACUAUA
rnacentral:lncRNA from 1 species